UGGGGAAUCAUGGUCAAUGGGCGAAAGCCUGAACCUGCGACGCCGCGUGAGUGAUGAAGGUCGUAAGAUCGUAAAACCCUGUGAGUUGGGAAGAAGCCGUAGCGUGCUAAUACCACGUUGCGGUGACAGUACCAGCAGAGGAAGCCCCGGCUAACUACGUGCCAGCAGCCGCGGUAAAACGUAGGGGGCUAGCGUUGUUCGGAAUUACUGGGCGUAAAGGGCGCGUAGGCGGGUAUUUAAGUCAGAUGUGAAAGCUCCGGGCUCAACUUGGAGAGUGCAUUUGAAACUGGAUAUCUUGAGGGCAGGAGAGGAAAGUGGAAUUCCUAGUGUAGCGGUGGAAUGCGUAGAUAUUAGGAGGAACAUCAGUGGCGAAGGCGGUUCUCUGGACCAUUGCUGACACUGAGGCGCGAAAGCGUGGGUAGCAAACA
rnacentral:rRNA from 1 species